AAAUCCAAAAUCUAUCUCAGCCCACAUCCAGAUUGGGAUUCAAAAAAAAAAAAAAAAAGUGGUGUACAUGUUGUUUAGACAAUAUGGGUCACAUUGGACUUCAGGAAUAAAUUGUAGAAUUUUCAUCCCACGAGCAUCCAAAUGUAAUUUGAUCGCCAUGUCGUUAAACUGAGCAUUUAAUGUAAUUUGACCGCCAUGUUGUUAAACUGAGCAUCCAAAUGUAAUUUGACCGCCAUGUCGUUAAACUGAGCAUUUAAUGUAAUUUGACCGCCAUGUCGUUAAACUGAGCAUCUAAUGUAAUUCCACUGCCAUGUCAUUAAACUGAGCAUUCUAAUAUGAUUGCUAUGUUUUUAAAUUGAGCAUUGAAAAUUUAAUUUAGAUUAACCAUGUCUCUAAAUAUGGAUUUGAGCCACUAGCAUAUGAAAUAUUAACUGUGGCAAAUUAGGGAUCUUUGUUUUGAGAAAAUUCUUCGAGACCUAUAAAUAAAAGUCGGGAUAGAGUAUCUAUCUAGAAUUUAUUUAGAUGA
rnacentral:lncRNA from 1 species